AUUGAACGCUGGCGGCAUGCCUUACACAUGCAAAUCGAACGGUAACGGGCCUUCGGGUGCCGACGAGUGGCGAACGGGUGAGUAAUACAUCGGAACGUGCCCGAUCGUGGGGGAUAACGAGGCGAAAGCUUUGCUAAUACCGCAUACGAUCUACGGAUGAAAGCAGGGGACCGCAAGGCCUUGCGCGGACGGAGCGGCCGAUGGCAGAUUAGGUAGUUGGUGGGAUAAAAGCUUACCAAGCCGACGAUCUGUAGCUGGUCUGAGAGGAUGAUCAGCCACACUGGAACUGAGACACGGCCCAGACUCCUACGGGAGGCAGCAGUGGGGAAUGUUGGACAAUGGGCGCAAGCCUGAUCCAGCCAUGCCGCGUGCAGGAUGAAGGCCUUCGGGUUGUAAACUGAUUUUGUACGGAACGAAAAGCCUUCUUUUAAUACAGGAGGGUCAUGACGGUACCGUAAGAAUAAGCACCGGCUAACUACGUG
rnacentral:rRNA from 1 species